AGCGGAAAACUCGCGCCCUACAUGCCGGAAGUGGCAAUGAAAGUCGAUGGCAUCCUCUUCUGGUGGUUUUGAAGGACGUGAGAGUUCCUAUGCACUGGGGAUUUAGAGGACUCGAGUGGACGGCUGAGACGCGUUCGUGCAUGUGUGCAUGACGCUCAAGGAGAACACUUUAUUGCAUGAAUGAGGGCGCGGUGGGGCAUGGCGCGGAAGGAACUCGCGCCCCCAGCCUCUGCAAACGCUCCCACAUUCAUGACUAAGUUGGGGUAAGCGAGACGUUGAUGAUGGCUCCUGAGGCACGGAGAUCCUUCUGGACAGACAACUGCUGAGUCAAAAAAAAGAAUAUAAGAAAAAAAAGGGAAGAAAAUAGUGAUAAUAAUAAAAGAACAAGAACAAAAAAUGACAAACGAAACCUAAGUCACUCAUGUUACGGCUAGCUAUCAUAGAUCGUUACUUCGCUUAAGCAGUGAUGAUAUGAUAAAGAUGCAGAGUGUCCGUUGUAAGGGUUUAUUUAUAUCUGCUAAGAGUUGUUAUCUCAAAUACACGCUCUAGAGUUACUAAAGAACACAGCUGAGGGGUUUAUUUUCACGGUUUACAUCGAAGAGAGAGAGAAACCGGGAGGAAAACGGGCGCAUGUCACUGAGCUCGAUCGUAAUUCGGAUAAUAAGCAGUCUACUCAUGUGUCGCCUCUUUAACUGCCGUUGGACAGCCCUCGCUCCCUCAACCGGACUCGACAUGACCGUGGGCAGCGCCAGCGCGAGCAGCGCUCGGGUGGGCAGCAGGACCAGCAUGGGCAGCGGGCGAGGAGUGGCCGCCACGCCCCCCUCCAGCGGCGGCGGGCUGAGCGUGUGGGACGCCGCCGUGAGCGAGGCUCGACGGCGCCGCGCCGACCCGCUCAACGCCGAGGGCGAGAAGGCGCCGCGCGAGGCCACGCUCCUCGUCGUCGGCACUCGCGGCGCGGGGAAGACGACGCUGCUUCAGAGGUUCCUUGACCGCGAGGAGCCCCCACGCACCACCCUUGCUCUCGAGUACACUUACGGCAGGAAGAGCGGGAAGACACUGGUGAAGGACGUGGGUCACCUGUGGGAACUCGGCGGGGGGUUGCUGUUCACGUCCCUGUUGGCCACGCCGAUCACCUCGCGCAGUCUGUCGCAGCUGACCGUGGUUCUCAUGCUGGACCUCUCCCGCCCCGAGACCAUCUGGGCGGACCUUGAAAAACUUCUCGCUACCCUGCAGGAGGAGAUACAGAAGGUGGUUGCGGAGACGCCGGGUCUGAUGGAGCAGCUGGAGGAGGCGGCGGCCAAGAGGCGCGUGCCUGACCACCAGGAUCAGGACAAGAUGACUCCUUUUCCGGUGCCGCUGGUCAUCGUGGGAGGAAAGUACGAUCUUUUUCAGGAAAUGGAACCUGAGGGAAAGAAGGUUCGCAGCGCAUACACACGGGGCGUCUCUGCAGUUCUUCUCCGCGCGCGACCCCGGACUCAUAAAGAAGGCAAAGGAACUCCUCAGCCACUUUGCUUUUGGCACCGUCGAGAGCAAAAGCGUGGCGCAGGAUUAUAACAAACCCCUAAUAAUCCCGGCGGGCAGCGACAAUCUGGGCGCCAUUUCGGGCACGAUGGACGACAACCACGCCAUGACGCUGGAUGCUUGGAGGCACACCUUCACUGCAAGGUUCCCGCAGGAACACGAGGAAAAGUCGUCAGUGUUGCCAGAAGACCCAGGACGGGACUCGAACUACAGGGAACCCGACGUCGACAACCUCCGCGCUCAGAAGAAUGAG
rnacentral:misc_RNA from 1 species